CCUACGGGUGACAGCAGUGAGGAAUAUUGGUCAAUGGGCGCGAGCCUGAACCAGCCAAGUCGCGUGAGGGAUGACGGUCCUACGGAUUGUAAACCUCUUUUGCCGGGGAGCAAGCGUGCGUUCGUGAACGCGCGUCGAGAGUACCCGGAGAAAAAGCAUCGGCUAACUCCGUGCCAGCAGCCGCGGUAAUACGGAGGAUGCGAGCGUUAUCCGGAUUUAUUGGGUUUAAAGGGUGCGUAGGCGGGAUGCCAAGUCAGCGGUAAAAAUGCGGUGCUCAACGCCGUCGAGCCGUUGAAACUGGUUUUCUUGAGUGAGUGAGAAGUAUGCGGAAUGCGUGGUGUAGCGGUGAAAUACAUAGAUAUCACGCAGAACUCCGAUUGCGAAGGCAGCUUACUAAACUAUAACUGACACUGAAGCACGAAAGCGUGGGGAUCAAACAGGAUUAGAUACCCGGGUAGUC
rnacentral:rRNA from 1 species